rnacentral:ncRNA from 1 species
CAAACUUUGAGGAGGAUAACAUCAGCAAUUUCUGGAUCUUUAGAUACAGAGGCAUACCUCACAGAAAAGUAAUAACAGCAUUGCAGCUGAGAGCCAGUGUCUACACCACAAGAGAGCUCCUUCCUGGCAAGAGGAAGACAAGAUCAGUGUGCCAAAAGCUGCAGGCACUGCAAGGCUGAAAAUGAAAUGUGCUCCCACAUCAUCGGAAACUGUGCAGUAACACAAAAUGGCAGGAUUAAAAGACACAACUACAUCUGUGACAUGUUGAUCAACAAAGCUACAAAGGAGGAUUGGACAGUGUUACAAGAGCCACAUGUGAGGGAUGACAACGGCAAAAUGUACAAACCAGACCUGAUCUUUGUAAGAGAAAAACAGGCAUUGGUGAUGGAGGUGACAAUCAAAUGUGAAUGCACUGAAGCAUCUUUACAGAAAGCUGCAACUGGAAAAGUGAGAAAAUAUCAACAUCUUCAUGAACACAUUCAGGAACUCACCAAUGCAGGAGAUACCAAGUUUGGGGGCUUUCCCGCUGGAGAGUGGCGCAAGUGGUUCUAUGGAACAAAUGAGCUCCUAGAGGCCCUGGGUCUCUCCAAAACAAGGCGGGAGAAGACUGCCUGGGCCCUGGCCUCCAGAGCACUCCUCACCUCAGCUGGUAUUGUUCAUAUCUUUGCAAGCAAGACUGGCUCGGUUGCAUAGAGUCGUUAUUGCUUAUGCUAAUUUAAAAAAAAAAGUUAAAUCCUGAUGGUACAUAAGGACAGUGGGAAUGACACAAUUCUUCCAAGGAUGUAGCAUUGUGUUUCACCCACUUUUGAGACUAAAUUCUACUGAUUUGGACCAUGGUGGAUGGGCCACCUAUACUUAACCCAGAAAAGGAACAUAUAUGAAAAUAAAUGCUCAGUAAAUAGCCAAAUGCCUCAUCAUCUAAUUAGUGAUGUGAAUGAAUGGAUCAAUGAGAUUCCCACUGUCCCUACUUACUAUCCAGAGAAACCACAGCCAAGGGAACAGGCUUGGCAGAAGCAACACGGAAAGAAGACCCUGUUGAGCUUGACUCUGCUCUGGCGCUCCGACGAGACAUGAGAGGUGUGGAAUAAGUGGGAGGCGUGGUGCACACUUGGCAGUGUUGGGUGACCUGCCCACUGGUGUCCCAGCCAUCGGUGAAAUACCACUACUCUGAUUGUUCUGGUGAGCACACCUGGCCUCCCGGGUAGAGGAGGGAAGGCUCCCCAUGCCGGCAGCAGGCAGACCGUGUCUGAGACCCCAGUGGGGAGACCUGGCCUUCCGUGACCACACUUGGCAUGCUGGGGACACGGGGUACACCUGGUCCCCUGUUCCAGUGGGGAGAUGUGGCAUCUCAUCCCAGUGGAGGGCACACCUGCUUCCUGUGACCAGACUUGGCCAGUGGGAGACAGGAGUGUUUCCCAGGCCUGGGUACCGCUGUGGUCCCUGCCGACUCAGUGCCUGAGCAGGUCCCAGUGAGCCCUAGCACAUGUUCCUCCCCCCACCCUUACCUCCCUGAACCACCAGCCCAUGGUGACAUCAGAGUUGUCUCCAGCCUGCUCAAAAGU